ensembl:lncRNA
CUGGAAUAUAAACAUCUAUGUACAGGAUGGUGUGUAUAGACAGUAUAGUUAUAUAGGAUGGUGUGUAUAGACAGUAGUUAUAAUAGGAUGGUGUGUAUAGACAGUAGUUAUAAUAGGAUGGUGUGUAUAGACAGUAGUUAUAAUAGGAUGGUGUGUAUAGACAGUAGUUAUAAUAGGAUGGUGUGUAUAGACAGUAGUUAUAUAGGAUGGUGUGUAUAGACAGUAGUUAUAAUAGGAUGGUGUGUAUAGACAGUAGUUAUAAUAGGAUGGUGUGCAUAGACAGUAGUUAUAUAGGAUGGUGUGCAUAGGCAGUAGUUAUAAUAGGAUGGUGUGUAUAGACAGUAGUUAUAUAGGAUGGUGUGUAUAGACAGUAGUUAUAUAGGAUGGUGUGCAUAGACAGUAGUUAUAUAGGAUGGUGUGUAUAGACAGUAUAGACAGUAGUUAUAUAGGAUGGUGUGUAUAGACAGUAUAGACAGUAGUUAUAUAUAGGAUGGUGUGUAUAGACAGUAGUUAUAUAUAGGAUGGUGUGUAUAGACAGUAGUUAUAUAUAGGAUGGUGUGUAUAGACAGUAGUUAUAAUAGGAUGGUGUGUAUAGACAGUAUAUGAAUUAGAAAGUGUGUACAGCAGUAGUUAUAUAGAAUGAACCAUGACUAGAAUACAGUAUAUAGACAUGAAGUAGGUAAAACAGUAUGUAACCGUUAUUAAAGUGGUUCCAUGACUCUGUACCGUACAUAAGGCAGGAGUCUCUGAGGUGCAGUUGAACCCUGUGGCUGCGUUCCGAUGUUCCACCCUUCUCCAGAACUCAAAACCAUUGGAUCGGUACAAGUAUGACUGGAGGGGAGUUCCCAUUUCCAUCAUAUUUCUGACACCAGUCCAAUAAUUUUAAAUCCAUAAAGGGAAGUGUACAAGUGCACACCUCAGGGAGAAGGGUAGAGAAUUGGAAUGUGGUAACCUUUGACCUCCAUAAAUGAUAUUUGUGAGGUUAGAGGGCUGAUUGAGCGUUCGUUGCUCUUUACUACUGGUAAAAAAAAAGUUGAAGC